rnacentral:rRNA from 1 species
AGCGAACGCUGGCGGCAGGCCUAACACAUGCAAGUCGAACGAUCCUUCGGGAUAGUGGCGGACGGGUGAGUAACACGUGGGAACGUGCCCUUUGGUUCGGAACAAAUCAGGGAAACUUGAGCUAAUACCGGAUGUGCCCUUCGGGGGAAAGAUUUAUCGCCAUUGGGGCGGCCCGCGUUGGAUUAGGUAGUUGGUGGGGUAAUGGCCCACCAAGCCUACGAUCCAUAGCUGGUCUGAGAGGAUGAUCAGCCACACUGGGACUGAGACACGGCCCAGACUCCUACGGGAGGCAGCAGUGGGGAAUCUUGCGCAAUGGGCGAAAGCCUGACGCAGCCAUGCCGCGUGAAUGAUGAAGGUCUUAGGAUUGUAAAAUUCUUUCACCGGGGACGAUAAUGACGGUACCCGGAGAAGAAGCCCCGGCUAACUUCGUGCCAGCCGCCGCGGUAACAC